rnacentral:rRNA from 1 species
CUAAUGAGACUGCCGGUGACAAACCGGAGGAAGGUGGGGAUGACGUCAAGUCCUCAUGGCCCUUAUGGUAGGGCUUCACACGUCAUACAAUGGUCGGUACAGAGGGUCGCCAACCCGCGAGGGGGAGCCAAUCCCACAAAGCCGAUCGUAGUCCGGAUUGGAGUCUGCAACUCGACUCCAUGAAGUCGGAAUCGCUAGUAAUCGUGGAUCAGCAUGUCACGGUGAAUACGUUCCCGGGUCUU